rnacentral:lncRNA from 1 species
UAUAUUCUUUGGUACUUAUUAUGGGUCCCUAGAUAUCAAUUACAUGAAUGACGCUGCUACAGACUCAGAUCUUCCUUUUGAGCGAGGCAUGUGUUCAGAAGGAUAUCAUGACUUUGAAAAUGAUAUAGAUCGUAGCUUAUCUCUGUACUUGUUGAUGAUGGUUGAACAAGAGGAUGGACGAUCCUACCUCACAAGGAAUCAUUAGAAAUUGUAAGCUUGGUGAAUAUUAGAAUUGACCUGAUUGCAAAGACGAAGCAAGACCUUGUCCAGUUACCUCUAGAGUUCAAAGAUGUCUUUGUGUGGUCAUACCAGGAUGUACCCGGGUUAAUCACUGAUAAUGAAACCUGCACAACAGCACGAUUUUUGCAGCAAGAACGAUGCAAUUCUUUACCGGGGCAAUGCCUUUCUCGUUGAGUCAGCAUAGCUUUGCCCAUUUGAAGUCAAGUUUCCAUCCUUUCAAGAUGUUUUCUGUCGUAGUUGCGCCCCACAAGACUCUAUGAAAGAAAUGAAGGUUUUUCGCAUACAAGAUGAAAGUGAGAAAUCUUAUUUAUAAAAACAUUGAUUCUGAUCGAAAGGAUUCAGAUUCAAUCAAAAAAAUUUUAAAAAAAUCAAAAUCAAAAAGAAAAAAGAAAAAAGAAAAAAUCAAAGUCAAAGUCAAAGUCAAAAGCAAAAAAGAGAAAUCAAUUAAAGUCAAAAUAAAGAUAUGAAAAGGAGAAAAAGAAAAGAAAAGGAGGGGCCAAGGCGAAAACCCGCAAAGGGUGCUUUAUGACCAAAUGUGGUUUUGAGUUGAAAACCCGAAAAGGGCGACUCAAAUUUUAGGCAAAUGGGGCAUGACCGUCAUCAUCAUCGAAGGUUUCUAACGGGCAUUGCUUUAUGUUUGAGAUCAUUAGUUACUUUGUCAAACGGGUAGAGGCUGCUUCAUGCGUCAAUAUCAUCAUAUGCCGGUAUGGAAUUACGGGGAAGACGAUAUCAUGAUUGUUAGUAUGAUAGCUGAGGUCUGUGAUCAAUUCAAAAUCACCAUAGUUCAUCACUGCAAUGAAUUGCAAAAAUGACUGAGACUUGCAACGACUAGCAUGAGAAAUUACCAUUUGCUCUUCUUACUUGUCGAACAUCUGUACUAGGGCAACAUCAUUCUCUUUGGUUGGAGGGAUGGAGGUAAUUUUACCCAUUACAGAAAAUCUUUUCUCUCCAGGUAUUAGUUGAGCUAAGAGUUGGAUGAGGCAGAAUGAAUCCAAUCUGAUCAGAAGGAAAAGGCUAAAAGAUAUGCAGCACAGUCAAAUGUAUCAAAGGCAAAUGACGCAAGCCUACAACCAAAAGGUUCGUCUCAAAGAAUUCUAUAAGGGAAACCUAAUGUUGAGAAAGAUCCUUCUUACACAAAAGGAUUUUAGAGGAAAAUGGAUGCCAAACGUCUUUUUUGGAGAAACUCUGAUCUUGAGUAGGAUAGAUGGUAAAACUAACCAAAUCCUGUAAACUCAGAUUCAGUCAAGAAUUACCUCACCUGAAGGAGAAAGGACCAAGGUGAAAACCUGCAAAGGGUGUCUUGAUUCCAAAAAAAAAGGUGAAAAAUGAAAAAAUGAAAAUGAAAAAGUAAAAAUGGAAAGGCUAAGGGGAAAACUCACAAAGGGCACCUUAGGCCAAAGAGAAAUUGAGUUGAAAACCCGAAAGGGCGGCUCAAAUAUUGAUUAAAAUGAGGCAUGAGGCGAUCAGAGCAACUCGUAUCUUGAUCAGAUUGGGGCAUGUGGUAAUCUUGUUAUACCUGAAUCAACAGGAAAGGGUAGGCGACAUCUUGGGGCAUCGACAAAGCACUGUAGAUCUCCUAAACACAUGUCAAAUUCAGAAUGGUCUUCAGAAAGUUUGUACAGAGAAGUUCAAGCUGCGAUAUCCGAAGCAUCCAAUUCUCAUAUUAUCUAUAUUAAAUUUGUUGUUCUUGAAAUACCUUUUUCUUUUCCAACAUGUACAUUCCCAAUCAAUUAUCCUUCUUUACUAUUUUUCAUAAUUUAUUCAUUUUGAGCUAUGCUUAGAACCAACUUUAUUCUUAUCCAUUGUUAUGACCCUUUUUGCUAGCAUGUUUCAUUGAAAUAAUGAUCAAUGGACUAAUAAAAUUUCACAAAGGAAGUUUUACAUAUUACUCUGAAAAGUUUCUAAAUAAUAUAGAAGCCUGAAACAGGACUAUUGUUUAGAACACACCAAAUUUAAAGGUUGAAAAUUUGAAAAGGAAGAGUCUAAAUUUAGACUUUCUCUUUGGAUUUUGUUGUCAAUAUGCCAUAAACAAGCAAGCAAUGAUCACCAAGCAAUAGGAAGAGGUUACCUCGGAAAAAAGAGCCUUCAUUUGCGCAUAAGUCUUUGGUACGACACCCUGCGAAUGGUGUAAGGGACCAAGUAGACUUAGAUCUUGUAUCCCUGAAUUAUGAUAGAAAGAUUGAAGAAAAGCCACAUAUUUCUACACUUGAAUUACAGUAGGAGAAUGAUGGUAUAAAUUAUGGGCCCUAAUGGAUUAAACUUUGAAGUUUACAGUGAGGGGCAAUCUGACUAAGUGAUUCUUUGAAGAAAUCGGUCAAACGAGAAGACGUUGUAGCACGUCAGUAUCAAAGCCUUGAUAAACUUCGAGUAAUGACAACCUAAGCGGGAUCAUUCUCGAAAAAAUAAAAUUCUGCAUUCAUGCAAACACCAUUCACACAUGUCUAGUUAGGAGUAUUUGAUUCAUUCUGAUCAUGACAUCCUAAUCAUUAGGCAUAAUUAAGUUCAUAAACAAAUUAUACAGGUCAUGCUCCCUAGAGAAUAGAUCAAUGAAAUCACAAGUCAUAUGUCCCUGACCAGCAGUGGAAUAGGUCAGAAAUUGUAGAUCUUAUCUCCCUAAGCAAUAGUGGAGCAGAUCGAAGACGGCGAAUCUUAUCUUCCCCAGGAGUAGGGAAACAGAUUUAAGCCACAAGUCCUAUGUCCCUGACCAGCAGUGGAAUAGGUUGGAAAUUGCAGAUCUUGUCUCCCUAAGCAGUAGCGGAGCAGAUCGAAGAUGGCGAAUCUUAUCUUCCCCAGGAGUAGGGAAACAGAUUUAAGCCAUAAGCCCUAUGUCCCUGACCAGCAGUGGAAUAGGUUGAAAAUUGCAGAUCUUAUCGAAGACGACGAAUCUUAUCUUCAAGUGUAAGGAUGCAGAUUAAAGCCGAUAAUCCUAUCUCCUUGAAGUUGUAGUGGAGCGGAUUAAAGUAAUAGAUCUUAUCUCUCUGAAGUUGCAGUAGAGUGGAUCACAUCAAGUCUUAUCUCCCUGAGGUUGCAGUGGAGCAGACUGAGUAAGCAAGUCUUAUCUCCCUGAGGUUGCAGUGGAGCAGAUUGAAGUCGAUAAUAUUAUCCCCCCGACAUUGCAGUUAAACAGAUUAAAGUUACAGAUCCUAUCUCUCCGACGUUGCGGUGGAGUGGAUCGAAACAUUAGUUCCUAUACCUCUGAAGAUGCAGUAAGAUGGAAUGAGGUUUCUUGAAGAAAAAGAACUACCAAUGUCUAGCACGACCAGGCAAAAUUGGCCCUUUUUAGUCUUUGCUCCAUUCCCGUUACACGAUAAUGAGCAAAGAGGGGCAGCUGUAAGAGCCCAUUUUUGCCCGGCCCGAUUAAUUUACCCAAUCCCAAAACACAUCAAACCACCUAACCCAACUAACUAAACCCAAACCCGUUACAAACCGAAGCCCAAAAGCAAAGAAAAAAACCUAAAACCCUAAACAAUUUAUGAAGCAAGCCGAGCGCCGCAACGGUAACCUCCAGUGCCGUUCUCCCACGCCACGCACGCCCCCGUGCAGCUGGCCCUCGUACGUGCUACGUCUCUGACACCGUACGUCGUACAUGCACACAAACAACAAACAAAAACCACGCAGCACAGAAUAACAGCAAAAGAGGACAAAUAUUAAGAAAAAUGUAGUUUUUUUAUAUUUUCUUUUAUCAUUUUCGGCUAUAAAGGUCGAUUUAGGAGAUUGUAAAAAAACAAAAAAAACACACUGUAUCAGAAACAGAGAAUAUCAAUAAAAAGAAAAAAUUGAAAGAAAAAUGUGAUUGCAGUGUUCUUUCUCUGGUUUUUUUUUUGCUUCUUUAUUCAUCUAUUUCGUGCUCAAAAAGGAAAAAGAAGGGAGAAGAGUGAGGAACGUACCUGGUGACCGGCCUCGUGCUCGCUCCGUCGCAAUCGGAGUCGUGCAUGGGAUUCGGAAAGCCCCUGUUCUGAGGCGAUAAACAUCGCAUGAGAAAAAGGAGGAGUGCUUAGGUUUUGGUUUCAAAAGAGCAGAUCGGGUUUAGUUUAGGGUUUUUUUAUUUUUAUCUUAAUCAUGGAAACGGCGUCGUUUUCACUGAUUGGAUUUGAGCAUCCGAACAUGUGUUUAAUUUCUGUUUUAGUCCUCUUUGUUAUUUUAUUAUGAUUCUUACCCUCUUUUUCAUUUUUGCUCCGCUUUAGUCCCAAAUCUGUUAGAUUUCACUUUAUUUUUGCAAUGUAUUUAUUUAUUUUAAACUUUAUAUUAUUUAUUUUAAAUCGUUCUAUUAUUAUUUAUUUUAAGUUUUUUAUAUAUUAUGUAUUUUAAAUUAUGUUAAUCAAUUAUUCAUUUUAAAUAUAUAUUAUUUAUGUUAAACUACAUAUUUAUAUUAUUUAUUUGGAAUUGUUUUUAUGCACAUCAUGCAUUAUCGUUUUAAAAAAAAAAUUGUUUGCAUAUUAUUCAUUUAAGAUUCCUUCUGACAUAUUAUUUAUUUUAAACAUUUUACAUAUUACUUUAAAUUGUUUUCUAUGUUAUUUAUUUUUUAAAUUGCUUUGAGGAUUAUUCAUUUUAACUUGUUUUACACAUUAUUUUAAUAUGUAUGGAAUUAUUUUAAUAUAUAUAUACGUGUAUAAAAUGUAUUGUAACUGGUAAUUUCUAAAAUUUUAUUCUACGUUUUAAAAUUUUUAUCAUUUCGAUUAUGUUGAUUGGUUUACUUGGGAUUAAAUUAUUAUUGCAUCAAUUAUUCUCUUUUUGUUAUUUCUAAGAUCGAUUAUUAGUUUAUUUGAUUAUUAAUGUCGAUGUAUUAUAUAUGUGGUUGCUCCAAUUUGUAGAAGUAAUUUGCUAUUCAUCAUUCGCUCCGUAUAUUGUUAUAUUAUUUGUAAGAAUUGCAUUCCAUUAAAACAUUAUAAUCGUUUUAUUUCAAAACUCCUAAAAAAGGAUUGGUGUUUAAUAGUUCUCGAGAGAAUUGUGCCCUAACUUACUGGGCUUCAACUCUCUUCGAUGGAUUUAUAUCAUCAAGUUUCCAUUUUAUUUAAACCACACCAUUAUCAACAUAAAUUUUUUCAGGAUUUCAAAAUGUUGGACCCUAACUCACUGGAUCCAAUAAUUUUGCUAUUCAGAAUUAAGGAUUUUCUUUAUAAAGGCAAUAUUCGAUGUUUAGGAAUUUCGAGAAAUUAAACCCUAAUUUACUAGGUCUUAAUUUUUCGUUGGACUUAAAUAAUCAGAUAUCCUGCUCAAAAUGCAUAGGUUUUAAAAGUUAUGAGAUAAACUUAAUUUUGAUGAUUGAAGUGUUACGCUCUAACUCACUGAGUAUGGCAAUUCAUGAGUACAUUUUACCUAAAUUUUCUUUUCAAAGGAUCGUAUUUUAAAUUUUUUUUUUAAAGUUUCAACACUAAGACAUUAAAAAAUCGAUUCGAUACCAAUUUUGGGCGUUACGAGGGUGUUAACCCUUCCUCGUGCGUAACCGACUCCUGGACCUAUUUUCUCAAAUCUCGCAGACUUAAAAUUUAUUUUAAUGAUGAACCGAUCACACCUUAAUAAAAUAUCGGUGGCGACUCCAUUUCCAUUUUCAAAAUCGAUACCCAUUUUUCAAAUUUCAAAAAAGUGGUUCGACAAUGACAACAUUAGGAAGUAUAUUAUGACAUAUUAAUUCAAGAAAUGAUUAAAUCGCAAAAGUGAGACAAAUUUUAUUAUCCAAGAGUAAAUACUCAAAAUUUAAGGGGUUAAAGUGUAAAUAUUAAAAAAUUGAAGGACCAAAGGUGUAAAUAUUUUAAGGGUGGAAUGACCUAGAAACUAAGGAAAAUGGAUAGAUUAGGACCAAAUUGAAAAAGGUGAAUAAUUUUGAGGGACUAAAUCAUAAUUUUACCAAAUUAAGUGAUGACUCAAGGAUGGAAUUUUAAAAUAUUAUAAAGAGAAAAAUGGUCAAUUAAAGAGAGAGAACUCUAGAAGGUAAUGAUGAUGUUGGUGAUAUUUUUAUUAAUUAAUUAGAUAAAUGUUAUUUAUUUAAUAUUUUAUUAAGAUUUUUAGUAUUAUUUUAUUAUUAAAUGAUUAAUAUAAAAGGGAGGAAAGAUGAAAAAAAUUCAUCAUCUUUUCCAUGCAACCAACGUGAGAAGAGAGAAAGAAAGAAAGCUUUGCUUUCUUUACAAUUUGGUCCUCUCACCAAAAAUUCACCAUUUUCACUUAAAAUUUAAAGAAAUUUCCAUAGCCACCAAAAGAGAAAUUUGAUAAGGAGACUAUGGGGAGCUAGAAUAUCAAGUUAGAUUCAAGAAAUAAAGGCUCGAGGAGAGAUAAAAUCAAGUUAAAGAUUGAAAUCAAUAGCACAAGGUAAGAACAUCAAGAUUUCAAUAUAUUUUUGAGUUUGAUAUUAUUGAAAAAGUAUGAAAUUGAUGUUAAUGUAGGGUUUUAUUAUAUAAGGUUCUAUGUUCUUGAUAUGUUAGUGAAGAAAAAUAAGAGAAAAUGAUGGGAAAUACUAUAGAGAAAGAGAAUAAGGGUGUUAUAAAUUUAGUAAUCAACAUUUUGCACUAAAACAGUUUUUGACAGCAACAGUAGGUUAACUUUGAAAAAUUACCAUAAAUCGUGGAAAUUGAAUUAUAGGAUGAAAAAUAUAUGAAAUUAAAACUUAUUAAGUCUAGUUUCUCAUAGAAGAAACGGUGUAAUCAAUGGUAUUAUAAAUUAUGAGAUAUAAUUUUUGUGAGACAAUAUCAGAAUGAAUUCGGGUUUCCCUGUUCUGACUUUGGAAAAUCAUUAAAAAUUGUACAAAAAUGAUUAUGAGUUAUAAUUCAUAUGUUUAGAAUCCUUAAUAAGUCUAUUUUUAAAAAGAAUAAACGAGAACAUUAUCCGAAUCCUAUACAAUGAGAUAAUUAAUUUUUAGUGAAGAAGAGUUGAAACUGUCAAACAGCAGAACAGGGAUGACUUUAAAGAAUAAACUGUACUUAUUGGAUAAACCAAAAAUUAUGAAAAUUUUAUGGUAAGAAUAUAUGAGCCUAGUUUCAGAUAAAAUUUACGAAUUUCAAUUCGAAGUCCUGUAGCUUAAGAUAUAAUUAAUUUAGUGACUAUGACUCAAGUGAACAAAUUGUUAUGAGUAAACAAGUAAAUAGUGGCAAUAUAUAUAUCAAGGAUGUGAAAUAGAGUGGAUGAGGAGGAAAAAUAAUAUAUGUGAAUAUUCAACUAAUAUGAGUUUAAUUUAAGAUAGCUAAUUUACAUGUUUUAGGUUCAGAGACUAAAUUGAAUAAAAGUAAAAUUUUAAGGGUAAUUUUGUAAAAAUAUAAAAAAAACCAAAUUGCAUGAAAUGAAUUGUUUUAUCAUUUAAAUUAAUAAAUUAAAUGAAAUAUUAAUUUAGAUCAAGAUUUGGGUGGAAAUUCGAGAAAAAUAGAAAAUUACCAAAAUGUCCCUAAAUUUUGAUAUUUCUACAAUUUAGCCCGGUAAGUUCGUGUAACUUGAAUUAUAUUGUUAAAUGCUUAAAAUGUUUGUUAUUGAUGUGAAUAUGAUUUGAAUGUUCAUUAUAUGAAAAUUGAUGAAACAUUGAUAUAUUUGAUAAAAAGGGGAAGAAAUCUCGGUUGAAUGGAAGAAAAUUCGAUGGAUCUCUAAAAAGAAAUUGAUAGUAAAAAGGAUCUAUCCCAGAUGGGUGAUCCUAUCUUGAUAUAGCCCUCCCGAAGAAUAUGUGUGAAAAAGAUCUAGCACGGAUGGGUGAUCUUGAUAUAGCCCUCCCGAAAAAUAUGUGAAAAAUAGAUUUAGCCCGGACGGGUAAUCCAAAUUAGGGUCUAAAUUUAGCUUGGAUUGGUAAUUCAAAUCCAAGCUCAUUAGAGUAAUUGUCAUUACAGGGGAUUUAGCCUGAACUGAUAAUCCAGACAAUACUCUAUGAGUUUAUAUUAAAGGAGAUUUAGCCUAAACUGGUAAUCCCACUGUAAGAAAUGACGUUCGCGGGAGUGUACUCUCUUGGAAAAUGUGCGCACAUGAAUAUGAAUUGACGGACCCGAAUUAGUACACUAAAGUGUCCCCCUGAAAAUCCAUCAAAAUUUCGAAAAAUUCAACGGGAUAAAAAUAGAAAAAUGAUAAGUACUUAAAAUCAUGAAAUUAAACUUGAAAUACAUAGAAAUGAUAAUUAUUUGAUAUACUAAAAUAUGACAUGGAAAAUACAUGUAUGUGAAACUUGUCUGAUAAUUAUGCAUAUUCAAGAUUAUGAACUGCUACUGGAAUAAAUAUACAUUGAAAUCUAAAAAAAAUUAUGGUACAUGAAAUAUUGUCAUAAUGAAUUGAAUAAUUUAUAUUUAAAAAGAAACAACAAGAAAAUGAUAUGUAUAAUGACAUGUAAAUAUGAGACUAUCUUUGAUACGUUGAUACUAAGAAAAAUUAUGUGUAUUAAGACGAGUAAUAAAUUUAAGUGAGACAUGGCGAGAAAAUAAGUUUGUCAAUAUUAAAGUACGCUAACCAAUGUUGUUGCUUGAAUUUUAGGCAAGUGCCAAAUUACUAUUGAAUGAUAAUAUGUUUAAUUAUAAGGUGCUUUGGAAUGGUAAGUGCUUAGAUAAAAAUAUAAUUGAGCUUAUGAAAGAGUGGAAAGGUUUCAGUUAUGCAAUUUCUUAUGAAAAAAUUUGUUAUAUGAUACGCCCCGUAUGAACCCUGCACCUAAUUUGAAAAUAAAAAAAAAAUUAAAAUCUAUAUAUAUAUUUAGGAUUUUGCGAAAAAUUUCCUAUGAUUCCGAUUUAAUCUCAGUAGGUUCCUAAUAAAUGUUUUGGGCUUCGAGAGCCCAAUAGAGGGACGUUAUGAUUAUUUUCAGAAUAUGAAUAAUAAAUGGUUCAAAAUUAUUGAAAAUGUUUAGUAAACUCCGGUAAUGCUUCGUGCCCUAUUUCGACAACGGAUAUGGGUAGGGGGUGUUACACUUCUUCCCAUUUCGGUAAAAGCAUUUCCACCAAGAUUGCAAUCAUCGGAUGCAACAAAGUCGGGUGAAAACAAUUGCAAACCAUGAUUGUGCGUAUUAAAUGCAUCCCGCAACAUACCUUCCAUGUCAUCUUUUCUAACAGACUGAUGGUAAUCACUAUGAGGAUAAGCCAGAUUAAUCGUCGAAGAGAUUCUACUGGUGUGCACUCUCCAUGGAAAAUCCAUUUUUUAUACCCCCGAAUAAACCCAUCAACAAUUAGAUGUUCGUAGACAACUUUACGAAAAUGCCAAUUGAUGUUGCCACACUUUUUACACAGGCAAAGAAUCAUAUUCUCUUGGCUUGCAUUUUGAAAUGCAAAAUUUAGAAAAGUUUGUAGUCCAUUUCGUAGUUCUUGAAGUCUAAAGUUGACAAUAAAUUACACGGGUAAGUUGUUUAUUUAUAAGUAUAAUUAAGUUAUGUAAGUUAUGAUAUGAUAUAUAUUUAUGUAUUAUGUAAGUUAUGAUAUGAUAUAUAUAAGUUAUGUAAGUUAUGAUAUGAUAUAUAUAAGUUAUGUAAGUUAUGAUAUGAUAUAUAUAACUUAUGUAAGUUAUGAUAUGAUAUAUAUAUAUAAGUUAUUAUGUAUGUAUGUGAGUUAUGUAAAUUAUGAUAUGAUAUAUAUAAGUUAUUAAGUUAAGAUCCCAAGUUUUUUUUCAAUUCUUUAAAGUUAAGUAAAUUAUGUAAGUUAUGUAAGUUUUGAUAUGAUAUAUAUUUAUGUAAGUUAUGUAAAUUAUGCAAGUUAUGUAAGUUAUGAUAUAUAUUUUAUAAGUUUUAAAAACAUUUAAAAAUAUUAAAUAUUAAAAUCAAACAUUUUUAAUAUCAAAAAAAUAGUAAUUUGAUUUUUAUAUUAAAAUAAAUUUAAAUAAUGAUCAAAAUUAUCAUAUUGAUAAAAAAUAUUUAUAAGUUUUAAAAAAAUUUAAAAAUAUUAAAUAUUAAAAUCAAAUAUUAAGUUUUGAUAUGAUAUAUAUUUAUGUAAGUUAUGUAAAUUAUAUAAUAUUUUAAAAUAGAAACUUUAAAAUAUUAUUUUAAGCGGAUAUUAUUUAUUUUAAUUUUAAAGACAAAAUCGUAAAUGAAUCUCUUUUUUUUUUUUAAAAAAAAAACUCUAAUAAACCUGGAAGUUAUAUAUAACGAAAGCUGUCAUGAGUGUGAAAGGGGAAACUAUAAGAUUCAAAGUUGUAAAUUUUAGAAACAAAAAAAAAAAAAAGUUAGGCAAAUGUUCAAUAAUGAUUUAUGAAUGAAAUAUUCAGAUUAUUAGUUUGAAUUGAUUGAUUUAAUUAGUGAAAUAAGGUGAUUCUAGAAUUAAUAAUAUCAUUUUCAUUAUUAUGAUUGGUGGUCUGCAAAUUAUUCACUCUGACAAUUAAAUUAUUUUGACAAAACUUACUAUUUUCCUCUAAAUCAUGUAUAUUCAUGAAUCUUGAUUUUGAUCCCAGUGGGGGAAAAUUUUCAUUUUAUGGCUAUGAAUUUGGAAGAGUUGAAGUUCAUCUUCAUCAAAGAGAUGACAAAGCUAUUACCUUGUCAUAUAGGAAGGUAGAGCAAUUUACCGUGAAGAAAUUUGUCAAAAUUUAACUCAAGUUAAUGGCUUAACAAUUGAAGUAAUGAAUGAUACAGAAGCAGAGACAAAUGAUGCAGAGGCAGAGACAAAUUUCAUGAUUGAAGUAGAAUGCUCAAGUUAGGUUUACGGAUUCAAAAAUUACACUAUCACAUUCAACUAUAGAACCAAAAGGGGGAAAGGGAAGAAAAACAAAAAGGCAGAAAAUAAGGAAUGAGAAAUUGAACCAAAAGGCAUAAGAUAUAGAAAUAGAAGGAAUACAAUAAGAGAUUCCAGCAAAAGAGAAAAACAGAUUUGCAAAGAACUAUUUGUUAUUAUAACGCAGGAAUGCUCAAAGCAAAUAUGGAGAAAAACGUUGAUUGAUUAAGAUAUAUAUAUAUAUAUCUUAAACAUUCAGCAUUAAAAGAAAAGAAGAUAUUGGUGAUUAUGUAUACAAAAAUUUCGGGGGGGUGGGGGGGGAGAAGAAGAAAAGAGAGCUUACCGAGCUCGAAAACUUGAAGAAUGGGAGGGAAACACUAAUAAGGGAUUUUGUUACGGAAAAUCCUAAUUUGUGAGAUUGAAAGAGAAGCUUUUAAUUUCGCACGAGCUUUAGAAUCGGGGUUGUGCCCUACAGAUAGCAAUAGAAGCAAUGAAGAAAUUAAAGAGAAAGAAAAAACAAAGCAAGCAUUAAAGAAAGAAAAAAUCAAAGAGAAAAAGGAACAGCCAUAUACCCAGUCAACGGAGAAAUUAGGUAAGGUGAUGAGAUUUUUACCAGUCAGCCCAAACGAGAAGCGAUCUUGCAGCGAGCAGAAGGCCGGAAAACAACGUUGAAGGGGUGAAAGAUCUAGGGAUUUGCAGGAGAGGAGAAAGACGGAAGGAGAGUCGGGGGCUGAGAUUUAGACUUAGAACAACAGACCACAAAAAAAAAAAAGAUGCCAUUUAAGUCAAACUGAUAUUGCAAUAUUUGCUGCGCUUAUAAAAAAACGUGACUAAUUGUAUAACUUUUG